GACGAACGCUGGCGGCGUGCUUAACACAUGCAAGUCGAACGGAAAGGCCCUGCUUUUGUGGGGUGCUCGAGUGGCGAACGGGUGAGUAACACGUGAGUAACCUGCCCUUGACUUUGGGAUAACUUCAGGAAACUGGGGCUAAUACCGGAUAGGAGCUCCUGCUGCAUGGUGGGGGUUGGAAAGUUUCGGCGGUUGGGGAUGGACUCGCGGCUUAUCAGCUUGUUGGUGGGGUAGUGGCUUACCAAGGCAUUGACGGGUAGCCGGCCUGAGAGGGUGACCGGCCACAUUGGGACUGAGAUACGGCCCAGACGCCUACGGGAGGCAGCAGUGGGGAAUAUUGCACAAUGGGCGGAAGCCUGAGGCAGCAACGCCGCGUGCGGGAUGACGGCCUUCGGGUUGUAAACCGCUUUCGCCUGUGACGAAGCGUGAGUGACGGUAAUGGGUAAAGAAGCACCGGCUAACUACGUG
rnacentral:rRNA from 1 species